UUUUGAGCGGUCCUUCAAUAAUUAUUUUUUUUUUUGAGAGAUAGAUAGCACGCUACCCGCUUCGUUUAUUUCAUUUAGAAACAAACUUAGCUUUAAAUGUAAAUCAACUAGGAUUCAAACUUGGGACCUCGGUACCAACCACCAAACCCUUUGCUACUUGCUCUCUGAAAGGUCGGUCAAUAUUUUAAAAAUAUUUAAAUAUAUCUUUCGCGGACC
rnacentral:lncRNA from 1 species